GUCCAAAAGUACCCAAUCUAAACUGCCGUGUCGGUCUAAGGACCUCAGGCAAAAGCCACUACCUGCUCGCACCUGGCAUGUAACCCUAGCACGAAGAGAACACCGCUGGGCUCACGGGUCGUAUGUACGACCACUUUUCCGGAAAAGAACACCCUCCUGCGGGGGAUCAACCCGCUGGUGUACAUGAAAUGCACUCGAGCUGUGGCGAUCAAUGCGGAUAUGAUCAAUAGCCAACCGUCGGCAACCAGCCGACAAUCACCGCCCCUCGGGGCAAACCGAACAAUAGGUCGUCAGACUAUAUAGAAGCACAAGAACCGACCACUCAGGUCAACUAGAAUGGAAUAACUCAACAUCCUACCGAAGGUAUACAAGCACCGAUACUAAAGUCAACUAACAUAUAUGCACGACGAACCAACGAAAAGGUCACCAGAGUAUAUCACUAGAAUCCCGAAUUACCGUCGACCACUAGCCGACAAUCCAACCCCUCAGGGUACACCGACCUCAUAGGUCAUCAAUGACAGGACUCACGAAGCUGACAGAUUAAGUCAAAAAUAUACCAAAUAGUAGAACUGACUAAUCCAGUACAUAAUGCAACAACCGACCAACCAAGUCAACAGAUAUGAGACAAAAGCACCGAUCAACUAGGUCAUCGAAUGAAGUGCGAGAACCGACCAAUCAGGUCAUCGAAACGAAGUACCAGAACCGACCACUCAGGUCACAGGUAUCACAUAUGGAUAAACUACUCUACUCCUACACAUGAUACUAAGCAUAGAAACAUAUGAGUAGAGUAUAACAGAAACAACAGGGAUGUAAGCUCAAUAUAUAAUACGAUAAUAACAACAGGAGAACGGGGAUAGAAGAAAUGUCACCGAGCGUGCACCACUGUACCGACUUCGGAUCGAAGUACCCACCUGUACGAAUGUCGCGCCUGUCUCCUGACUGCGAAAGAAAGUCAACCGGACCUAAGGAAGGUCCACCGGGUUAGUGUCUAACCCACAGCUAAUAACCACUAAAUCCACAACCUACAAGCAAACCCAUGGAGAUCGAUUUCCCAAAUCGAUCGCCGUAAUACGCCGGAAGUCCCGUAAUCGCACGGGGACUCCGUCGGGACCCACAAACUGUCCCGGAACAUACCGACUCGAGCUACGAGUCACCUGCUGCCACUAAACAUAAAUAAUCGUGCAUCAUGGCAGCGAACACAACUCCUCACGUCGAAACAAUUAUCGUCGAAUAAUCGUUUCGAUUUGAGUUCCCGGAAGUGUCUAAUUCGACACCGGAACCUACUGUCGCUCACCCGUCAUUUUUGAACUCUCGAAAUAACGCGAGUGACCAGCCAACAAGGCUCAGCGACUACACAAUAGCUCACGAAGCACCGUCGGAACAAUUCCGAACCGAACCAGCGUUUCGUCGGCGGAUUUCGCCGAGAAACGCACUGAAAAUCACUUUUUUGAUUCCCGCAAAGGCUUGGGGCCUUGGACGAUCAGUCCAGAGGUUAUCCUCGGCCCAUAUUUGCUGCCAACAGCAGCCACGACGAACAAAGUUGCAUAAAAGCCCGUCCGAAUACCCGAAAUCGCAUUAUUUCAUGCGAUUUCGGCGCUUUUAUAGUCCGUCUGCACAAACCAGAAGUGAAACAGCGAAGCCGAGACACCCGCUGACAGGUCUCGGCAUGCCGGAAACCGUGCUCACCUUUCGGAGCAAUUCCGGCCACAGAGGGAAGCGCACGAGCAAUGCGAAACUCUGCGAGACUGCGCGCACAGCGCAAAGAUUGCGAUUAACUCGCUAACCAGGGCAUCAUUGCCGCUGUCGGAGGUAAGCACGAUGUUCAGCACGAACCCUAGAUCAUCGUGCUCACUUCCCGGGAUGUCGGGGAGUCAUUGGAUCACCGG
rnacentral:lncRNA from 1 species